CCUACGGGGUGCAGCAGUAGGGAAUAUUGCUCACUGGGGGAAACCCUGAAGCAGCAACGCCGCGUGGAGGAUGAAGGUUUUCGGAUUGUAAACUCCUUUUGUUAGAGAAGAUAAUGACGGUAUCUAACGAAUAAGCACCGGCUAACUCCGUGCCAGCAGCCGCGGUAAUACGGAGGGUGCAAGCGUUACUCGGAAUCACUGGGCGUAAAGCGCGCGUAGGCGGGAUAGCAAGUCAGAUGUGAAAUCCUAUGGCUUAACCAUAGAACUGCAUUUGAAACUGUUAUUCUAGAGUAUGGGAGAGGUAGGUGGAAUUCUUGGUGUAGGGGUAAAAUCCGUAGAGAUCAAGAGGAAUACUCAUUGCGAAGGCGACCUGCUAGAACAUAACUGACGCUGAUGCGCGAAAGCGUGGGGAGCAAACAGGAUUAGAUACCCGAGUAGUC
rnacentral:rRNA from 1 species